rnacentral:lncRNA from 1 species
AUUUGUUAUUAUGACAGCAGAAUGCAUUACAAUUCAUAGUACACAUAUAGAACACAACUUUUCUUAUCUAUGGUUGCACACAGAGUAGAGUCACACCAUUUGUGUCUUCAUACAUGUACUAAGGGUAAUUAUGUCCAUCUCAUUACACUGACCUUCCUACCCCCAUACCCCCUCCCUUCCCUUCCCUCACCUUUGGUCUAUCUAGAGUUUGUCUAAUCAUCCCUUGCCCCCAACCCCAACCAGCCCCAUUAUGAAUCAGCAUCCGUAUAUCAGAAAAAACAUUCAUCAUUUGUUUUUCUGGGAUUGGCUAACUUCACUAAGCUUUAUCUUCUCCAACUCCAUCCAUUUACCUGUAAAUGCCAUGGUUUUAUUCUCUUUCAAUACUAAAUAGUAUUCCGUUGUGUAUAUAUACCAUAUUUUCUUUAUCCAUUCACCUACUGAAGGGCAUCUAGGUUGGUUCCACAGUUUAGCUAUUGUGAAUUGUGCUGCUAUAAACAUUGAUGUGGAUGUGGCCCUGUAGUAUGCUAUUUUUAAAUCCUUUGGGUAUAGACCUAGCAGUGGGAUAGCUGGGUCAAAUGAUGGUUCCAUUCCUAAUUUUCCAAGGAAUCUCCAUAGUGCUUUCCAAAUUGGCUGCACCAAUUUGCAGUCCCACCAGCAAUGUCCAUUUUUUUUUAUAUAAACUCAAAAUUUAUUACAGAAAUUAAAGAGGAUAAUGUGAAUAUAUAAAAAGAAUUACUAAAGAUCAUAAUUGAUAUUGAAAACUUUCUAGUCAUAUAUUUUAACAACUUAUUGUUGAAGAUAAUUAGUCUCCUUUUUACAAUAUGGAUCAAUAAGACCAACUGGCACAAAGCAGACAAGGUGAUUGAUACUAAGACAUACGGAGUAAUGGGUUGAGACAGAAUAAUCAGCUAUCUUGCUAUUUGCCAAUUUCAUUAGCAUAUCUGUUCUGGUUUAUUUAUUUAUUUAUUUAAUUAGUUGCUCAAAACAUUACAAUGAUCUUGACAUAUCAAACAUUUGAUUCAAGUGGGGUAUGAAUUCUUUUUUUUCCCACGUGUAUAGAUUGCAGUAUCACAUUGGUUUUACAGCCACGUUUAAGCAAUGUCCAUUUUAAAAACAGAUUAUUAAAACACUUUUUGCUGUUGCUUAUCUUCUGGAUAUUAAUCCUUUGUCAGAUGAAUAGCUUGUAAUAAUUUCUCCCAUUCUGCAGGUUGUCUCUUCAAUCUAUCAUUUCCUUUGCUGUGUAGAAGCAUUUUAAAGUUUGACAUAAUCCCAUUUGUCAAUUUUUGCCUCUGUUGCUUAUACUUUUAAGGUCUUAUUAAAAAAAAAAAAGAUCUUUGCCCAUAUCAAUGGCCUGAAGUGUUUCUCUUGUUUUCCUCUAUUAGAUUCAUAGUUUCAGGGUUUAAAUUCCUUAAUUCAUUUUGAGUUGAUAUGUGAAUAUGAUGAGAUAGAGUUCUAGUGUCAUUCUUCUGUAUGUGGAUAUCUAGUUUUCCCAGCACCAGUUACUGAAGAGUCUCUCUCCUUUCUCUGUUCUUGGUACUUUUGUCAAACUGUAUUUGCAAUAGAUUUUUAGCUUUACUUCUGAGAUCUCUUUCGUGUUCCAUUGGUCUGUUCAUCUGUUUUAUGACAAGAUCAUGCUGUUUUGAUUUUCACUAUUUUGUAAUGUUUAUAAGUUAGGUAGUAUGAUGCCUCCAGCUUUGUUUUUAGUCAGGUUACUUUGAUUACUCGGGGUCUUUUGUAGUUCCAUGUAGAUUUUAGGGUUUUAAAAAUAUUUCUGUGAAGAAUGUCAUUGGUAUUUUGAUGGGGAUUACACCGAGUUUAUAGACCACUUUGAAUUGGUAUCAAUAUUAAUUCUUCUAACCAUGGAAGAAUUUUUUUAAUGCCAUCUUCAGUUUUUUAAAUUUUAUUUUAUAAUCUCACUUUAAACAUCUUUCAAUUCUUUGGUUUAAUGCAUUUCUGGGCAUUGUUUAUGAAGCUAUUUUUUUAAAAAACUAUUUUUAUUAGUUGUUCAUGGACCUUCAUUUUAUUUACUUACUUAUAUGUGGUGCUGAGAAUUGAACCCAGUGCCUUGCACAUGCUAGACAAGCACUCUACCACUGAGCCACAACCCCAGCCUUUUUCUGAAGCUAUUUUAAAUGUGAUUGCUAUCUUGAUUUCUCUUAGAAAAAGUUCAUUACUGGUGUACAUAAAAGCUACUGAUUUUUGUAUCUUGAUUUUGUAUUUUGCAACUUCAGG